UACGUAGGGUGCAGGCGUUAAUCGGAAUUACUGGGCGUAAAGCGUGCGCAGGCGGUCUUUUAAGUCAGAUGUGAAAUCCCCGGGCUCAACCUGGGAACUGCGUUUGAAACUGGAAGGCUAGAGUGUGGCAGAGGGGGGUGGAAUUCCACGUGUAGCAGUGAAAUGCGUAGAUAUGUGGAGGAACACCGAUGGCGAAGGCAGCCCCCUGGGCUAACACUGACGCUCAUGCACGAAAGCGUGGGGAGCAAACAGG
rnacentral:rRNA from 1 species